GGGGGACCAUCCUCCAAGGCUAAAUACUCCUGACUGACCGAUAGUGAACCAGUACCGUGAGGGAAAGGCGAAAAGAACCCCUGUGAGGGGAGUGAAAUAGAACCUGAAACCGUGUACGUACAAGCAGUAGGAGCACCUUCGUGGUGUGACUGCGUACCUUUUGUAUAAUGGGUCAGCGACUUAUAUUCAGUGGCAAGGUUAACCGUAUAGGGGAGCCGUAGCGAAAGCGAGUCUUAACUGGGCGCUCAGUCUCUGGAUAUAGACCCGAAACCGGGUGAUCUAGCCAUGGGCAGGUUGAAGGUUGAGUAACAUCAACUGGAGGACCGAACCGACUAAUGUUGAAAAAUUAGCGGAUGACUUGUGGCUAGGGGUGAAAGGCCAAUCAAACUCGGAGAUAGCUGGUUCUCCCCGAAAGCUAUUUAGGUAGCGCCUCGGACGAAUACUACUGGGGGUAGAGCACUGUUAAGGCUAGGGGGUCAUCCCGACUUACCAACCCUUUGCAAACUCCGAAUACCAGUAAGUACUAUCCGGGAGACACACGGCGGGUGCUAACGUCCGUCGUGGAGAGGGAAACAACCCAGACCGCCAGCUAAGGUCCCAAAGUAUUGCUAAGUGGGAAACGAUGUGGGAAGGCUCAGACAGCUAGGAUGUUGGCUUAGAAGCAGCCAUCAUUUAAAGAAAGCGUAAUAGCUCACUAGUCGAGUCGGCCUGCGCGGAAGAUGUAACGGGGCUAAGCAAUACACCGAAGCUGCGGCAAUGUCUUUUAGACAUUGGGUAGGGGAGCGUUCUGUAAGCCGUUGAAGGUGAAUCGUAAGGUUUGCUGGAGGUAUCAGAAGUGCGAAUGCUGACAUGAGUAACGACAAAGGGGGUGAAAAACCUCCUCGCCGGAAGACCAAGGGUUCCUGUCCAACGUUAAUCGGGGCAGGGUGAGUCGACCCCUAAGGUGAGGCCGAAAGGCGUAAUCGAUGGGAAACGGGUUAAUAUUCCCGUACUUCUGACUAUUGCGAUGGGGGGACGGAGAAGGCUAGGUGGGCCAGGCGACGGUUGUCCUGGUUCAAGUGCGUAGGCUUGAGAGUUAGGUAAAUCCGGCUCUCUCUAAGGCUGAGACACGACGUCGAGCUACUACGGUAGUGAAGUCAUUGAUGCCAUGCUUCCAGGAAAAGCCUCUAAGCUUCAGAUAGUCAGGAAUCGUACCCCAAACCGACACAGGUGGUCGGGUAGAGAAUACCAAGGCGCUUGAGAGAACUCGGGUGAAGGAACUAGGCAAAAUGGUACCGUAACUUCGGGAGAAGGUACGCUCUUGAUGGUGAAGUCCCUCGCGGAUGGAGCUGACGAGAGUCGCAGAUACCAGGUGGCUGCAACUGUUUAUUAAAAACACAGCACUGUGCAAAAUCGCAAGAUGACGUAUACGGUGUGACGCCUGCCCGGUGCCGGAAGGUUAAUUGAUGGGGUUAGCGCAAGCGAAGCUCUUGAUCGAAGCCCCGGUAAACGGCGGCCGUAACUAUAACGGUCCUAAGGUAGCGAAAUUCCUUGUCGGGUAAGUUCCGACCUGCACGAAUGGCGUAAUGAUGGCCACGCUGUCUCCACCCGAGACUCAGUGAAAUUGAAAUCGCUGUGAAGAUGCAGUGUACCCGCGGCUAGACGGAAAGACCCCGUGAACCUUUACUACAGCUUGGCACUGAACAUUGAACCUACAUGUGUAGGAUAGGUGGGAG
rnacentral:rRNA from 1 species